AUAUAUUAUAAAGCGCCUGGACUUAAAUCAGAUCGGAGAAAGUAGUGAUUUAAGUUGACGAGGACAGGGUUAAUCGAUUAGUCGGCGGGUGCCCUGCGGUGUAGCUCACCACCGAUAAAGGCUUUACAAACCCUACAAGUGAUUGUAGGAACAAAAAAGUUGGGUGAGAUAG
rnacentral:ncRNA from 2 species